rnacentral:rRNA from 1 species
UACAGGGGGGGCAAGCGUUGUUCGGAAUUACUGGGCGUAAAGGGCGCGUAGGCGGCCCGCUAAGUCGAACGUGAAAUCCCCGGGCUCAACCCGGGAACUGCGUCCGAUACUGGUGGGCUUGAAUCCGGGAGAGGGAUGCGGAAUUCCAGGUGUAGCGGUGAAAUGCGUAGAUAUCUGGAGGAACACCGGUGGCGAAGGCGGCAUCCUGGACCGGCAUUGACGCUGAGGCGCGAAAGCCAGGGGAGCAAACGGG